ACGAACGCUGGCGGCGUGCUUAACCCAUGCAAGUCGAACGGUGAAGCGCCUUCCUUUUUGGUGGGUGUGGAUGAGUGGCGAACGGGUGAGUAACACGUGAGUAACCUGCCCCCUUCUUCUGGAUAACCGCAUGAAAGUGUGGCUAAUACGGGAUAUUCUGGGUCUGUCGCAUGAUGGGUCUGGGAAAGAUAUUGUUUCGGUGGGGGAUGGGCUCGCGGCCUAUCAGCUUGUUGGUGGGGUGAUGGCCUACCAAGGCGGUGACGGGUAGCCGGCCUGAGAGGGUGGACGGUCACACUGGGACUGAGACACGGCCCAGACUCCUACGGGAGGCAGCAGUGGGGAAUAUUGCACAAUGGGCGCAAGCCUGAUGCAGCGACGCCGCGUGAGGGAUGGAGGCCUUCGGGUUGUGAACCUCUUUCGCCAGUGAAGCAGGCCUGCCUCGUUUGUGGGUGGGUUGACGGUAGCUGGAGAAGAAGCGCCGGCUAACUACGUG
rnacentral:rRNA from 1 species